AUCGCUUCUCGGCCUUUUGGCUAAGAUCAAGUGUAAAAAUACACAAUGUAUCUUUAUUAAAUAUGGUCACCUUAC
rnacentral:sRNA from 1 species